GAGCGGCCGUAGGGGCCGGCCUGGUGUGGGGCUCCCAGGCUGCGGAGCUCCGGGACCUGAUCCACCAAACACCGGCUGGUGGCUGGAGUCAGGACGGUUCAGGGACUUUGCCUCUUCCCCGAAGGCUUUUACUUGUUUUGGGGGGCGCUUUUCUGAGUUGCACACCUUGGAAAGUCGCGAGGAGGUUCUUCGUAGAGCAAAAGUGUGGCGUUUGCAGCGCCCACAGGCGGCCACCUCAGAGAGGGCAGGAUAAGGCCUGAGGAGACUGACGGGUUGGCUGCGAGGGAACGCGUCCAGGACCGCGCUAAAAAGGUCACGUUGCGGGCAGC
rnacentral:lncRNA from 1 species